AUUGAACGCUGGCGGCAGGCCUAACACAUGCAAGUCGAGCGGAUGAAGGGAGCUUGCUCCUGGAUUCAGCGGCGGACGGGUGAGUAAUGCCUAGGAAUCUGCCUGGUAGUGGGGGAUAACGUCCGGAAACGGGCGCUAAUACCGCAUACGUCCUGAGGGAGAAAGUGGGGGAUCUUCGGACCUCACGCUAUCAGAUGAGCCUAGGUCGGAUUAGCUAGUUGGUGGGGUAAAGGCCUACCAAGGCGACGAUCCGUAACUGGUCUGAGAGGAUGAUCAGUCAAACUGGAACUGAGACACGGUCCAGACUCCUACGGGAGGCAGCAGUGGGGAAUAUUGGACAAUGGGCGAAAGCCUGAUCCAGCCAUGCCGCGUGUGUGAAGAAGGUCUUCGGAUUGUAAAGCACUUUAAGUUGGGAGGAAGGGCAGUAAGUUAAUACCUUGCUGUUUUGACGUUACCAACAGAAUAAGCACCGGCUAACUUCG
rnacentral:rRNA from 1 species